GAUGAAGAACGUAGCGAAAUGCGAUAAGUAAUGUGAAUUGCAGAAUUCAGUGAAUCAUCGAAUCUUUGAACGCACAUUGCGCCCGCCAGUAUUCUGGCGGGCAUGCCUGUUCGAGCGUCAUUUCAACCCUCAACCCCAGCUUGGUGUUGGGGAUCGGCACAGGCGCCCUCGGGCGCCCGCCGUCCCCUAAAUCUAGUGGCGGUCCCGCUGCAGCCUCCUCUGCGUAGUAGUUUUCUCCUCGCAAGGGCAGCUCGGUGGCGACCUCGCCGUAAAACCCCCAACUUCUGAAAGGUUGACCUCGAAUCAGGUAGGAAUACCCGCUGAACUUAAGCAUAUCAAUAAGCGGAGGA
rnacentral:misc_RNA from 1 species